UCCCUCGGGACCACAAUUACAGAAUGUUGUUCUGUCAGAGUGCCUCUCCUUGGGAUGAGGCACUAAGCUGAGGUCUGGGCUAAUUGGUUAUAACAGAUGGCAUGGCGCUGUUAUUAAAAGCAGGACCCCUAGUUAAACUCCAAUUUGGAUUCCAGUAUGUCCUCCCAAAACUUCCCCCUGAAGUCAAUCGGUGAAGCAAUUUCUCAGUCCUGCUCCUGAUCUGCUGGUGCAGGGUGGCUCCUGUGUGUCUUCCCAGGUGGGGGCUGCACUCGAGUGAUGAAUGAACCGAGUCCCAUCCUGUGAGCAAAACGCUUUGGGAUCCUCUAGGAUGAAAAGCACAGGACAAAAGAGAGGAUUUAUUAUGCAUUAGAACACUUUCGUCCUUUGAAACGGUUGAAAGGAGAAGUUGGUAUUGAGCCACCUAGACAAGAAAGGUGGUGCUUCAUAUGGAGAGGGCAAACAUUUUCAAAAAGUUGAACACCUCGCCUCAGGCCUGCAGAAUGGGGUCUCCAGCCGAAGGCCUUUACAACAGGCCCGGUUUCGCAGCGCCUUAAAAAUGUCUUAUCCCCCGAAGGGACCGUCGUAGAAGAAGGUUUUUCUCCAGCAACCAGAGAAGGCCAGUCUCGCCACAAAAAUUUCCAUGCAAACCUCCUGUAAUCUGAAACACAUUACUGGGCUUACAUAAACAGAGCGCGAUUAAAACAGAAAGUUUCUAAAAUAAGCACACAGCCUUCCAGACGUCUAAUUUGCGGACUGGCGUGUUUUGGCGGGGCAGUGCUGGCCGGUGUUUGCAUGUUCGUCUUGCUCGUUUUCCCCCCCCCUUCCAGUCCGCUGUGACACAGACCCCUGCUGUAUUUUUCUGCUGUUGCUGUGACGGCUGUUGGGAUGUUUUUGCUGUAUUUCUUUCCCGUUUCUCUGAAUUGCUUUCACCUCUAGGCUGCUCUCAUAAUGCAGCCAUCAACCGGGCGCUGAGGGCGGCAGGAAUUUCCUAAAGGCAACAAAAUGCUCGAGUGUGUGUGUAGGGGUGGGAGUGCUAAUUCUCAGUUCUUUGUUACAUCUGAAAGUCUUCGUGAGACUUUUACAGCCCAGUCAGCUUGUGACCUUUCAGAUCUCUUUCGCUUUAGGUCAUGAAGAAUCCAUUUGUACUCUAGAUUGUACGAAAUCCCGGAAUUCUGUCUCGUCUCCUUCCUUUUUUUCCCCACCUAUGUGAUGUAGCCCUAUGGUGAAGUUCUAUUUUUACUCGGACUGUCCAGGCUCCCCAUACUGUGAGCAGGGAUUCGGAGCAGGCUGGGCUGACCUCACUGUUUGUCAUCGCAGCUCUCCCGUGGCUUGGAGCAGAGACCAGCACAUGGGAACGCUGGAAACUUUACUACCAACCAGAAAAGAAAAGCAGAGGUUUCUGCAAAUAGCAUGCUGGGGAAUGCAUUCAGCUGCUUUUGUCAUUCAGACAAAAUUAGCAUUUAUCUUUUCUUUGUUUGCCACUUAACCAGGAACUCCUAUCUGGUAAAAAAUAAAAAGAAGACAAUGCAUAAAACCUUGGUAAUAUUUAGCUGACCAACUAGGAAAAAAAAAGAAUGAACUAUAUUUGUCCUGUAUUGUCUUUUGUGGUGUUAUCCUAAAUAGUUUCUUCCUUGUAAUACUUGCUGAUACCAAGCCUCAGCCCAAGACCCUCAGAUGAGAAAGGACCAUUUAAAAUCAUUUCUUGUAUUUUUGUUUUUUCAGUCAAAUGUGUCCUUUAUCAGGUACAAUUUGUCCGGCCCAGAGCUAUUGAGCUCCACCUGGUUGCCGUCUCCCUGAUAUUAG